AUGAAUGCUGCUGUUACUCUGUGUGCCACGGUGCCCUCACAUCACCCCGAAUCAGACUUGAAAUUCCACGUUAAGAGGCGACAGAGCAGGGACCAGAAAAAAGACGAAAAUGGCCCGGACUACGCUCGCUGGGGACAGCCGGGACCCGCGGAGGCCUCGGACCGGCACCCUCGCCGCGGGCGGAAAUCAGCCUCUGAGCACGCAGGGAAUCUGGACAAACCUGUCUCAAGAGAUGGGGAAGUGCCAUGUUGACCAGGCUGGUCUCAAAAUCUGCCAAAGUGCUGGGAUUACAGGCAGGAGCCACUGCACCUGGCCUUCAGACCUAUUAAAACUGCCCUAAUUGUCACACACCAGGAGAAACACUUUUAUAGUUAAGGACUGAAUGUUUGUUUCUUCAAAAUUUAUAUUUGAAACCCUAAUAGUUCAUGUAAUGGUAUUUGGAGGUAAAGCCUUUGGGAGAUGAUUGGGCCAUGAGGGUGGAGCCCUCAGGCAUGGGAUUUGUGACCUUGUAGAAGGGCCUCAGAGAGCGACCUUCCUUCUUCCACCAUGUGAGGACCCAGUGAGAAGACAUUAUCCCUGAAGAAGCAAGAACUCAACAGACUCCUGAACUACCAGCACCUUGCUCUCAAACUUCCCAGCCUCCAGGACUACAGGAAAUUUCUGCUGUUUAUAAACUGCCCAGGUUAUGGUGUUUUGUUCUAAGUCUAAACAGACUGAAACAGUUGUCAUUUUUUUUAAGCCAGGGUUCAGUCAAGACUCAGUCAUUGCAUUUGGUUAUAUCUCUUUAAUCUCCAUCCUAAAGCAGCCCUCCCACCUUUUUCUCCCAAUAAUAUUGACAAUUUGAAGAGUAUUCUGCAUUUUGGAUUUGGCUGGCCUGUUUUCUCGUGACGUUUAACUUGAUCCUCUAUCCUUCUGUUUCUUAUAAACUGUAAGGUGUGAAGGCUUGAUUGGAUUCAUCAUUUUUGGCAGGAGUGCUUCAUGGGUGAGAAGCUUAUUGUGGUUCUUCUAGCUGUCUGUCUGUCUAAUACAGGGUCUGCCUUUGUCCCCUAGGAUAGAGAGCAGUGCUGUGGUCAUAGCUCACUGCAAUGGCAAACUCCUGGGCUCAAGCAAUCCUCCUGCCUCAGCCUUCUGAGUAGCUGGGACCACAGGUGUGCACCACCACCACACCCAGCUUUUUUUUUUUUUUUGGAGAGAUGGGGCUCUUGCCAUUUGCUUAGGUUGGUCUCAAACUCCAGGCCUCAAGCGGUCUUCCUGUAUUGACCUCCUAAAUUGCUGGCAUUACAGGCAUGAGCCACCUUGCCUGGCUAGAGCCGCUGAUGAAUUGCAGCCUAAUGGUUCUGCAUGAACCAACGAUUAAAAACAGAAAUGUACCGAGAAAAGUUACCUGAAUAUCUGCAACUGUACAAUAAUGAAUAAACAGUGAGGCUUCCAGGAGGGUGUCA
rnacentral:lncRNA from 13 species